CGGCGGUGGCGGCGGUGGCGGCGGUGGCGGCGACGGUGGCGGUGGUGGAGGUGGAGGCGGCGGUGGAGGCGGCGGUGGAGGCGGUGGCGGAGGCGGAGGCGGUGAUGGCGGCGGUGAUGGAGGUGGCGGUGGCGGAGGCGGAGGCGGUGAUGGCGGCGGUGAUGGCGGUGGCGGUGGCGGAGGUGAUGGCGGGAGAGGUGAUGGUGGGGCGUUCGGUAACGGAAGAGGAAGAGUUGAGGCUUGAGAAAUCGGGCAGCACUCGCACGUAGUGUCGAAAAUAGCUGCUGCACAGAAGCCCGACGGGUAGCCUGGCGGCGGAGUGCAGAGCUGCUCCAGGGUGGUGCAGCCCUUGCCAAGCCUGUUGUUCUUAAGGAUGAUG
rnacentral:lncRNA from 1 species